AACGCAUAUUGCGCCCGCUAGUACUCUAGCGGGCAUGCCUGUUCGAGCGUCAUUUCAACCCUCAAGCACUGCUUGGUGUUGGGGCCCCUAUAGAUACUAUAGGCCCUGAAAAUUAGUGGCAGGCUCGCUGUAACUCCGAGUGUAGUAAUCUUUCUCGCUUAGGGUGUUGCGGUAGGACCUAGCCCCCCACAAACAUAUCAGGUUGACCUCGGAUCAGGUAGGAAUACCCGCUGAACUUAA
rnacentral:misc_RNA from 1 species